GGGGAAUUUUCCGCAAUGGGCGCAAGCCUGACGAAGCAACGCCGCGUGCAGGAUGACGGCCUCCUGGUUGUAAACUGCUUUUGUAAGUGAGGAAUAUGACAGUAGCUUACGAAUAAGGAUUGGCUAACUACGUACCAGCAGCAGCGGUCACACGUAGGAUCCAAGCGUUAUCCGGAUUUAUUGGGCGUAAAGAGUUGCGUAGGCGGUUAUUUAAGCAAUCUAUGAAAGCGUAUGGCUUAACCAUACAAGUGUAGUUUGAACUGAAUAACUAGAGUCUAGGAGAGGUCGCUGGAAUUUCUAGUGGAGGAGUGAAAUCCGCAGAUAUUAGAAGGAACACCGAAGGCGUAGGCAGGCGACUGGCCUAUGACUGACGCUGAGGCACGAAAGCGUGGGGAGCGAACGGGAUUAGAUACCCCGGUAGUCCACGCCGUAAACGAUGGAUACUAGCUGUAUGAGGAUUCAACCCCUUGUGUAGCGCCGCUAACGCUUUAAGUAUCCCGCCUGUGGAGUACGAGCGCAAGCUUAAAACAUAAAGGAGUUGACGGGGACCUGCACAAGCGGUGGAGCGUGUUGUUUAAUUCGAAAGUAAGCGAAGAACCUUACCAGGGCUUGACAUCCCACUAAGUUUCAGGAAACUGAAAUGUGUCUUCGGACCGUGGUGACAGGUGCUGCAUGGCCGUCGUCAGCUCGUGUCGUGAGAUGUUGGGUUAAGUCCCGCAACGAGCGCAACCCUUAUGUUUAGUUAUAUUUCUCUAAAGAGACUGCCUUGGUAACAAGGAGGAAGGAGGGGAUGAUGUCAGGUCAGUAUUGCCCUUACGUCCUGGGCUACAAACACGCUACAAUGGCCGGUACAAAGAGUUGCCAACCUGCGAAGGGGAGCAAAUCUCAUCAAAGCCGGUCUCAGUUCGGAUUGCAGGCUGAAACUCGCCUGCAUGAAGUCGGAAUCGCUAGUAACGGUGAGUCAGCAUAUCACCGUGAAUAAGUUCCCAGGUCUUGUACACACCGCCCGU
rnacentral:rRNA from 1 species